rnacentral:rRNA from 1 species
GACGGAGGGUGCUAGCGUUGUUCGGAAUGACUGGGCGUAAAGGGCGCGUAGGCGGCUCGUGAAGUCGGGUGUGAAAGCCCCGGGGCUCAACCCCGGAACGGCAUCCGAUACUGGCGGGCUUGAGACCGGGGAGAGGAGGGUGGAAUACCCAGUGUAGAGGUGAAAUUCGUAGAUAUUGGGUGGAACACCGGUGGCGAAAGCGGCUCUCUGGCCCGGAUCUGACGCUGAGGCGCGAAAGCGUGGGGAGCAAACAGG